rnacentral:rRNA from 1 species
UGGGAACGUGCCCAAAGGUACGGAACAACUCCGGGAAACUGGAGCUAAUACCGUAUGUGCCCGAAAGGGGAAAGAUUCAUCGCCUUUGGAUCGGCCCGCAUCUGAUUAGCUAGUUGGCGGGUAAUGGCCCACCAAGGCGACGAUCAGUAGCUGGCCUGAGAGGAUGACCAGCCACACUGGGACUGAGACACGGCCCAGACUCCUACGGGAGGCAG